GACGGGCACUGCAGGGUCUUGUAUUGGAAACAAGCAUGUUAACUGCUGUAGCCGCCUUAAUGGGCAGGCUUGCCUGUGGUCUCAGUCCCUUCAUCCACCAGCCCUCAGGAGUCACAGCAACUGUGGCUCUGAGCUUUUCUGUAGCUGCGGGACUUUGGUCAGCCAUGGGGUGACCAGCUUUCCUCCACCAUGCUUCUCUGCCAUGAUGUUUAUACCUCUGGAGCAAGAUAAUUAUGGAUUGAAUCAUCUGAAAACGUUGAGCCAAAAUAAACCUCUCCUCUGUUAACUUGUGGAUACCACACAUUUUGUCCCAGACGCUGGAAAUAACACAAGGUGACACUCAAGAGGGAAUGAGAUCUUACAAUCACUACUCCUUAUCUCACAGUGGUCUUCAAGACUUCGAACAUCAGAGAAUGAAGAGUUUUGAUCUUCGAGAAGAAGGAAGCAAAUUGUGGGCAAUAGGACAAUGAAAACAGUUUUCACUAUGGAUGUAAUACAAUGAGAACACUUCUCAUACUUUGAACUACAGCACUGUGCCUAAUGACCAGCAUUUCAAGAUGUUAAAACACAAGCUUUCCCAAGCUUCUCUCUCUCUCUCUCUCUCUCUCUCUCUCUCUCUCUCUCUCUCUCUCUCUCUCUGUGCUCAGGUGCCCUUCACAACCAAGGAUGCAUUUGCUAACAGCCAACAGCAGAACCACUCCAAACCCUACUAUAAAAACCUCUAGUAGCCCUCUAAGCUCUAGUGUGGUCCCCUUUUCUGACUCUCUCACUGUUUCACAUGCCAUGCACUUCAAUAAAUUUUUUUCUACAUUUAUAAAAAAUAUAGCUAUUACAUAGCAUCUCAAGUAAGACUCAUUUAAAGUUCAAAACCCUCUCUUCAAUGAUCACUCACUUUCUCUGAGGUAAGUAUGGACUUGAGCCUGUGAGAUUAUUUUCUAAAUCUGCUCUGGAACAUACACCUGGUUUAUCACUAAUUUUUGUCAUGAAGUAACUAAUCCCCUUAAAACAAUAAUGUGCUUUCAUUAUUACUGUUUUUGAAAGGCAAGGGGAGAGCAGGAAGUCUGCUCAAAUUCAUGCACAUUAUUUCAUGUUUCCUUCCAUGCCCUUGAUCAGCAAGUGUUCCCACACAUUCACGGCUGCUGUUUUGGGAAGAACCCUAGAAACCCUUUCUUGCCAAUACCAACAUGUACAUUGUUCAUGCACAGAUUGGGCCCAAACACAGAAUUACACAUUAGCUGAAGACACUGAGUGGACAGAAUUCCUCUUUAAUGAGAGUUUAUGUCUUCCCUUUUUGUUCUGUACUAAUAGCAUCGUGAAAAAGAUUCUCACCAUUUUCAUCAGUGCUCUGCUUUCUCUUUUAAAUAGGGUCAGUUUGCAUGCAAAUAUCACUCUGCUGACCACUGUCUGAUGAAUCCCUUAGAAUUUUUCAUUGUUUUGAUGAAUGUCUGAUGAAUCCCUUAGAAUUGUCUGAUGAAUGUCUGAUGAAUCCCUUAGAAUUUUUCAUUGUUUUGAGGCUAGUCUAUGAGCAGUUUCUGUGGUUCUUCUGAAGUCAAACUUUAAAUCCCUUUGGGGCAGUUAAGCUUUGCAAAUUAAAAAUUGUGUCUACACUUGUAA